GUCUCGAUAGCUCAGUGGUAGAGCAUGCGAUUGCAGUUCUGAACCAGCUAUCGCAUGGUCCGGUGUUCGAACCACCGUCGGGACU